GAUGAACGCUGGCGGCGUGCUUAACACAUGCAAGUCGAACGAACCUUCGGGUUAGUGGCGGACGGGUGGGUAACGCGUGAGAAUCUGCCCUCAGGAGGGGGACAACAGCUGGAAACGGCUGCUAAUACCCCAUAUGCCGCGAGGUGAAAUGAAUUUCGCCUGAGGAUGAGCUCGCGUCUGAUUAGCUAGUUGGUGUAGGUAAUGGCUCACCAAGGCAUCGAUCAGUAGCUGGUCUGAGAGGAUGAUCAGCCACACUGGGACUGAGACACGGCCCAGACUCCUACGGGAGGCAGCAGUGGGGAAUUUUCCGCAAUGGGCGAAAGCCUGACGGAGCAACGCCGCGUGAGGGAUGAAGGCCUCUGGGCUGUAAACCUCUUUUAUCAAGGAAGAAGAUCUGACGGUACUUGAUGAAUAAGCCACGGCUAAUUCCGUG
rnacentral:rRNA from 1 species